GCCAAGAGAGAAUAGUAGACUUAAGGCGGUUGGGAGGAAGAAGCUUUGUGACAUCUUUUUUAAAAAAGUUGUCAUAUUUCUGCCGUUAACCGUGCACAUACUAAUGUUCACUUGGUGUGGGAAUCCAAUGAAAGAAAAAAAAAAGACACAUUCAUAGAUCAACAGAUUUUUAGCUUAUGUAAUUAAUACAAAACUUUGUAUCUCAUUAACAGGGAAGUUGUAUGUGUUCAUUUAUUCAGUCAAGUCUCCUAUUCGGGCAUACCUACUUACUAUGUACCAGGUACUGUGCUAGGAAAUGGACUUGUGUGAGGACAUUCAGUUUCUACUGGGUGGGAGUGGGGGAUGAGAAAAUAGGGGACUUUUGGUGGUAUGGCUGGAGGUAGAAGUGGGACGGUGUGGUCAAGCACUACCUAUAUAUAGCCCUUGAGGGGCAGUUGGGCAGAGUUCAGUUGUAAAUGACAAAUCCUGUGGACUGUGGGAGGUGGGGGCAGGGCCGAGUGUUCCAACCAAUGCGAAGGGCCAACAUACCCACCCGUCUGGGGAAGAACAAGGAAAGAAAAAUCAAGAAGGAGACAGGUGACCUGAGAGGUCAACGGACUGAGCGCCCAGUCCUAUGAUUAUAAGUCCCUGAGCAGUAUUAGGCAGGGGAAUAAUAGGCUUGGGCUUUAUCUGUUAUGGUUUGAGAUGGAGUCUCACUAAGUCAUUGCUCAGGCUAAUCUCAAACUUCUGGGCUCUAGUGAUUCACCUCACUCCCAAAGGAAGUAGGGCUAAGGGCAUAUCGUGCCACACUCAGCAUGGUUUUUGCUUUAAACACCAUGGAAUGAGCUGAAAGGGGGCCAGAGGCAAGAGUGGAGGCCAGAAGAUAGAGUAGAAAGCUGCUACAGAGAGCAGAAUACUGGGGUAGGGUUGUAACAGUAGGGAAUGGGGAGAAGGGGAUCCACUGAUGUCAUCUGGGAUGAGAUUUGCCAAUAGGUUAAAUUUCGGUGUUCAAAGAAAUAGGGAGGCGGGGAGGAGAUAAGGGAUUUUUGGAGGGGAAGCUAAGAAAGGGGAUAACAUUUGAAAUGUAAAUAAAACAUCUAAUUAAAAAACAAAAAAAGAAAUAGGUAAUUUAGAUGGUAAUGUCAAAUGAAUAGGAAAGGUACAUGGGGUGGAGGUUGAGUUUUCAGUUUUGGUAGGCUUGAGGAGUUAUAUAUACAAAUCUGGCCACUUUGAGCUAAGAGUUUUGUUUUGUUUUCGAGACAGGGUUUCUCUGUGUAGCCCUGGCUGUCCUGGAACUCUCUCUGUAGACCAGGCUGGCCUCGAACUCAGAAAUCCGCCUGCCUCUGCCUCCCGAGUGCUGGGAUUAAAAGUGUGCGCCACUACGACCAGCUUUGUUUUUGUUUUAAGAUACAAAGGUCAGUGACAGUCAGCUUUGCACAGCUUGUUAAUGGUGGGAACCAAGACUUGAAGCUAAGUCUCCUGUUUCCCUGCCCAUAUAUCUUUCCACUUGGUCUCAAACAGGUUUUAAUUGAAGUUCUUACUAAGUAUGGAUCCUGAAGAUAAAAUAACGUUAAGUAUUCAUACCUGUUAAAGAACUAAUUUACACGAUGCCAUAUCCCAUUAAAUCCUUGCCCACAACAGCAUCAGGGGUUAGCUAUUAUUCCUGAUGCCAAUUUGCAGGGAGAAGCAGGGAUUUAGUAACACACAUAGAGAGCUGGGCCUCAGUGAGUACAAGGCCUUUCUCUGCAUGUGUUCUGCUGCCUUUAAGUGCAAUGACACUUCAGCACUCAGAGAAAUCAUUUGCAUAAUGGCAGGAUAAAGGCAGUGUAUGAGGCAGGAUUUGAAAGGCAGGUAGACUUUUAGUGGAUGACACUUUAUAGAGAAGUAGCUGGUGGCUGCAGCACGGUGAGCUUGACUAAUAGAUGAAGGACCUGGAGAAGAAUAAUGAGGAAAAGAUGGAGUCUGAGGAUGGACCUGCGAAUAUCUGGCAGAAGUAUCCAUAUUUAACAUGGGAGGCAGUAGGGGCUGCUCAGAGUCUG
rnacentral:lncRNA from 1 species